rnacentral:rRNA from 1 species
UGGGGAAUAUUGCACAAUGGGCGCAAGCCUGAUGCAGCCAUGCCGCGUGUAUGAAGAAGGCCUUCGGGUUGUAAAGUACUUUCAGUCGGGAGGAAGGUGGUAAGGUUAAUAACCUUAUCAAUUGACGUUACCGACAGAAGAAGCACCGGCUAACUCCGUGCCAGCAGCCGCGGUAAUACGGAGGGUGCAAGCGUUAAUCGGAAUUACUGGGCGUAAAGCGCACGCAGGCGGUUGAUUGAGUCAGAUGUGAAAUCCCCGGGCUUAACCCGGGAAUUGCAUCUGAUACUGGUCAGCUAGAGUCUUGUAGAGGGGGGUAGAAUUCCAUGUGUAGCGGUGAAAUGCGUAGAGAUGUGGAGGAAUACCGGUGGCGAAGGCGGCCCCCUGGACAAAGACUGACGCUCAGGUGCGAAAGCGUGGGGAGCAAACAGGA